rnacentral:lncRNA from 1 species
CGCGCGUGUCGGGCUGAGCCCAUGUACCCCUUCGCCCCAGACUCUAUAUAUAGGACCCCAUAUCCUCCCUUUGAGACUUAGCAUUGGAUUAGCUCAUAUUUGUGUGUGAGAGCCUUUGCUCAUCCACCGGUACUUCUCCACGGAGAUCAGGACCUCCGUCUAGGAGAAGAUCCAUCGGAUUCAAGACCCCUAUACAGGAAGAUCCCCUCGUGGAUUCAAGACCUCCUCUCGGAGAAGAACGGCUACCUUGUAUCUUUCCUUUGUUGAUUUUGGACCAUGUAUCACUCGUGCUUCGAUGAUCUAGACCUUGUGUGAUUGAUCUCUUGUCGGUUGAGUGUCUCUCUCGUUCUUCCCCGUGAUUUUCUCUCGUUCUUCCGCGCGUUCUUCGUGUUUCCCCCGUAGGAUCCCCUCCAAACGUGAAAGAUCGACGAAUUAGGGUUCCACCCUACAUCAUUAUGGUAUCAUGAGCCACGUUGAUCGCGUUUUUGGAGCCCCUACCUCGUGAUUUCUAGCUUGAUUUUGUUGUUUUCGUCCUAAAAACCGAAAAUCCCCACAAAAAUACCCCCAAUUUUUUUUGUGAUUUGUUGGUUUUGAUGAUGUUUUGUUGUUUUUGAUCUGUGGAUUCGGUGUGUAACUCGUGGAUCUUGCUUUUCCCCACCUUCUCCCCUCGAAAUCCACCCAAAAUCCCCGAAAUCGUCAAAUUCCUCCCCAUUUUCGAGUUCUUCCCGAGCAGUUCCCGUGCGAAGUUGACCUGCCCGGAUCAUCCGGACCAAGUCCCGGAUCAUCCGGACUCGCCCGGAUCAUCCGGCUCCUGGCCCGGAUCAUCCGGCUUCCUCUGCCGAACUGCACUUGUGCAGCCCCCAACCACCACCACCACCUUCUACACAUACAUACACCCUACCCACCCCAUCCACCACCAUUUCCACUUGCCAAACCCCAAGACAAAACCUCCGUACUACCAUUCGAAUUUGAGUUCGACAAUUUGAGUGAGAUUUCCGUGUCCUCUUGUGUUUCGGCUAUUUAGGCGCGGUGUGACAUCAAAAACAAAUGCUCAUUUUGGUCGGCUACUCAUCUUCGCUACGGACGGUAACAUCAACGACAUCUUUGUCAUACUUUGCAAUUGCAUUGAUAACCAUCAUAUACCAUCUUUUGCGUUGCUUACCCACCGAGACUAGCCAAUGAGUAUUGCCGGCAACGUGACUUGUGCACAUUAGUUGCAUACACCAUAUCAUACAUACAAUCAAGGUGCAUAUCUCGGAAUCAACUUGUGUGUCACAAAGUUGCCAUCGCAUACACAAUUGCUAUCUUAGUUCAUGAAGUUUGCAUAAGAAAAGAGCUCAAAAGAGAAAGAGCCACUCAAGCUUUUAAGCAAAGAGGAAAGAUAAGCAAAGAGCUUAUAAGCAAUAAGCAUAGCAUCAUACAACAUUAAUAUUGUCAUAUAAGAUCAUCUUGGAUCAUUGCACCGAUACACCAUACAUAUAGCAUACGUGGGAUAGAGACCGUUGCAUUUUUGCCUAGUAGGUCGUGCACAAGCUCCGUAUCCGCCUAUUGUGCAAUCGUGCUAGCGUCUCUCUAGUAUUGUGCAACAAGAGCAUUUUCGUGGAUUCCACAUUUUGGCUCACUUUUGGUUUGCACAAUCCCAUUUAUCUAUUUGCGUGUGUGUUUCCGUGUACCAAUACUUGCUUGGUCUACUUGUUGCAUAUGCGAACUUGCGAAUCUUCUUCAACAUUUUUUAGUCAAGCUAACGAUUGCAAUCAAUUUUGUGCCACCAUCCUAACCAAGCUCCACCAAAGGCUUUUACUUGUGUAGGUGUGAGAAUCGACAAGGAUCGGUACCAAUAGUGCUAUUUCAUUGUCCGCAUUUGAGUGAACUUGAUUCAUCUUCAACUUCGGUCAAUGGUACAUUGGUAUUCAUUCUUCUCCUUCUACCACUCACAAUUUGCUUGAAAUGAUGGAUAGGCCAAGUUCUUCUACAAAUCCACUCUUCAUCGACCAAGACGAUGACAUGUCAUCAUACGUCACCAAGAGCCACCUCUUUGGCGCACAACGAGCUCUCCAUCAAGAGCAACAAGCAAUGACCGAACGCAUCGACAACCUCUCCACCGACUUGAGGCUCUCCGAGCAACGUACAAGAGAAUACUUCGAUAACAAGCUCGACGCACACAAGAAAGAGAAUGAUGCAAGAAUGGACGAGAUCCGCGCCUUGUUGGUGAACCGGCGUACUUCUACUUCUUCACACUCAAGACGGGGCCACUCAAGUCGCCACUCCGACGACUCCUUCUCCGACACAAGUACACCGUCAUCGAACACUCUUCGACGAGCCGCGCGUCAAGACCGUCAUGCAUCUCGCAACCCGCUACACGACAAGAAUCUCCAAGAGCAAGUUCAUGAACAAGUUCCUCGUCCUCAAUCGAACCAAGUGGCGUUUGCUCAAGCUCAAGAACGACAACGUCUUCGUCACCAACAAGAACAAGAAAGAGCGCGCCUACUUCAAGAGCAACAAGAUGCCGAGGCUCAACGCCUUCAACAACAACAACGAGAAGCACAAGCUCUUGAAGCGGAACGUGCCCUUCAAGCAUCAAGUCGAGCUAUCGCCAACCGCAAUCGCGAAAGGCGCAAUCAAGAGGAAGCCUUUCGAGAAGAAAUACAAGAGAGGAACUACCAUCCGCGUGCGCAACAUCAAGUCCCACAAGCCCCUCAAGCUCAACCUCAACCUCAUGGUCAAUGAGAACAAGUUGAUAAUGGACUUCCCCCUCGCCAAGAGCAACAUGAGGAUGAUUAUCCUCCACGUCAAGAACGUCAUCAUCAACAUCGACCUCAACAAAAUGAAGGGCAACGCUAUGGCAAGCUCAAGUUCACAAUGCCCAAGUUCAAUGGAAGCAAUGAUCCCGAAGAGUACCUCUCAUGGGCAUUGAAGGUCGACAAAAUCUUUCGUUUGCACAACUAUGAUGAAGAAAAGAAGAUCGCUAUGGCAUCACUUGAGUUCCAAGACUAUGUGCUCAUAUGGUGGGAACAAGUCCUUGAGCGCCGACAAGCAAGAGGUGAACCUCCAAUCACCACUUGGGCUCAAAUGAAGGAUGUCAUGCGAGCACGAUUUGUGCCCACUUACUACAACCGUGAUCUCUUCAAGAAGCUACAACUCCUCAAGCAAGGAACAAAAAGUGUUGAAGAAUACUACAAGGAAAUGGAGAUUGCCAUGAUUCGAGCCAAUGUCACGGAGGAUGAUGAGCAAACAAUGGCACGAUUCUUGAAUGGACUCAACCAUCCCAUCAAGAAGAUCGCCGACUUCCAACCCUACUCCAACCUCAUUGAGCUCGUGCAUCAAGCUACAAAGGCGGAACGUCAAGUGCUAGAUGACUUCAAGUACGCCAAGUACUCUUCAAAGACACACGGCUUCUCCAACACCCAAGCUUCAACAACUACUCCAACUUCGACAUCAACAAAGCCUUUUCCAAGCAACGACGACAAGUCAAGUUACAAGAAAACUUCGACAAGUUCGAGUCGUCCUCCUCCUACUACAAGCAACUCCAAACCGCGAGCUUCAUCAUCUACUCCAACCGAUGAGACCGUCAAGACAAGCUCCUUCAAGUGCUUUACUUGCGGCGGCCGAGGCCACAAGUCAUACCAAUGCACCAACAAGCGCACCAUGAUACUCAACGACGAUGGCACCUACGACUCAAUGAGUGAAGAUGAAAUGGACGCUAUUGAGCAAGUGGCCAUGCACCGGCGCAUGAACGAGGAUGAAGAUGAUCAAGUCUUUUGUGAUGAAGAUACAAGCCCCGCUCUUGUUGUCUCCAAAGUCUUGACACUUCAACAUCAACAAGAAGAAGACCAACGAUGCCACAUCUUCCACACAAAGGCCGGCAUCAAUGGGAGAUCCGUCAAGGUCAUCAUCGAUGGAGGUAGUUGCCACAACUUGGCAAGCGAAGAACUUUGCUCCAAGCUUCAAUUGGUCAAGAAGAAGCACCCACACCCCUACAAGGCCCAAUGGCUAAGUGACUCCGGCGCUAUACGAGUUGAGCAUACGGUCCAAGUGUCAUUCAAGAUAGGUGCUUAUGAGGACACUUUGGAGUGUGAUGUGGUCCCAAUGACUGUUUGCCACCUUCUACUUGGUCGGCCAUGGCAAUUCGACCGUGGUGUCUACCACAAUGGGCGUACAAACCACUAUAGCUUCAAGAUGAAAGGCAAAGAAUAUGUCCUACGACCCAUGUCUCCUAGUCAAGUGAUAGCCGACAAACAAGCCACCAACCAAAGAGACAAGAGUGAGAAAGUGAGUCACCAAAAAGUGAGUGAGAGCCACAAGCCAAAUUUGAGCGCCUCUUCGCCUAGAGAGAAAAACCUCAUACUAUUCGCCACCAAACAUGAGAUGAGAGAAGUGUGUGAGAACCCAUCGAAUGUGAUACACUUUGUCCUUGUGUGCAAGGAUGGAGAACCAAAAACUAACACCACUCAUGAGCUACCUUUGGUGUUUCAAUCUCUUUUGCAGGAAUUUCGAGAUGUUUUCCCCGAUGAGCUACCUCCGGGUAUACCUCCUCUACGAGGCAUUGACCAUCGAAUUGACCUCAUUCCCGGAGCGCCACUUCCAAACAAAGCUCCAUACCGUGUCAACCCCGAAGAAACCAAAGAGAUUCAACGGCAAGUACAACAACUACUCGACAAUAGUCAUGCUCAUGGCGGUGGACUCAUGGGACACUUUGGACAAGACAAGACCUUCACCACGCUCUCGAAGAACUACUUUUGGCCAAGGAUGUUUCGAGACGACUCACGCUUCACCACCGGAUGCUCAACAUGCCGCAAAGCUAAGUCAAAAGCUCAAUAUCAUGGUCUUUACAUGCCUCUUCCAAUUCCAUAUCAACCUUGGGAAGACAUUAGCAUGAACUUUAUACUUGGUUUGCCUAGAACUCAAAAUGGAAAGGACCCUGUAUUUGUUGUUGUGGACCGAUUUUCUAAAAUGGCACAUUUCAUUCCUUGCAACAAGGUAGACGAUGCUUCACAUAUUGCAAAUCUCUUUUGUAGGGAAAUCUUGCGCCUCCAUGGAGUACCAAAGACAAUCGUCUCCAAAUGCGACGUCAAGUUCUUGAGUUACUUUUGGAAGACCCUAUGCGCCAAGCUCGGAAUCAAGCUCUUCUUCUCAUCCGCAUAUCAUCCUCAAACCGACGGCCAAACGGAGGUGACGAACCGGACGCUCUCCACUCUACUUCACGUGUUGAUCAAGAAGAACAUCAAGGAGUGGGAGGCGUGUCUACCCAUCGCCGAGUACGCCUACAACCGCGCAAGACAUUCAACGACCGGCAAGUCCCCUUUCAAAGUCGUCUACGGCUUCAACCCAUUGUCCCCAUUGGACAUUCUACCGCUACCUCUACAAGAACGCACCAACCUCGACGCACGUGCCCGUCCAAGCUACAUCAAGAAGAUGCAUGAGGAUACAAGAAACACCAUCGAGCACCAAGUACAACAACAAGCGACCAAGCUCAACAUCAACAAGCAACCCAUGAUCUUCAACAUAGGUGAUCUCGUGUGGCUACACCUUCACAAGGAACGCUUCCCCAACGAAUGCAAGUCCAAACUUCUACCUCGAGCCGAUGGACCCUUCAAGGAGUUAGCACGCUACAACAACAACGCCUACAAGCUCGACCUACCAAGCGACAAGUACAACGUGAGCGACACCUUCAACGUCAAAGACCUCUCGCCUUUCCAUGGUGACGAAGAAUUAGAUCCGAGGUCGGAUCCUUUCGAAGGGAGGGGAUAUGAUGCGGAGCAUCCUUCCACCAUCCCCAUGGACUCUACAUCGACACAUCCAACCCCACAAGGACCUAUGACUCGAGCAUGUGCAAGGGCUCUGGAAACCGAGGUGACAUCACUCCUAUCACAACUCUCCUUCGAUUCAUGUGAGACAUGGUUGCUACCUCAAACGGAAACUCUAUGCAUACUCAGGUACCAAGGAGUCAUCCAUGAAGAGGCUAGGAAGCAAGGAGAACCGGAAGCGGAAGACAUGCAUGAAGACGGAGUGGAGAAAGCAACAAGGACCAGAGAGGCCGGACGAUCCGGACGGAGGCCCAGACGAUCCGGACAGAGCCCGGAUGAUCCGGACCCCGGUCCGGACGAUCCGGCUAAAGCAACCGAAGGCAACAGAAGCUACCUCCCGAAGCCGGAUCAUCCGGACCCCGGCCCGGAUCAUCCGGACACCGCCCGGACGUCCGGACCAGCAGCCGGACAUCCGGCCCUGCGCCGCCACUAGCCGAGCACUCGGACCAUCCGGGCCCCCACCCGGAUCAUCCGGACCAGCCCGGAUCAUCCGGACCCUCGUCCGGAUCAUCCGGCCAGCGCCUGCGCGCGCGUGUCGGGCUGAGCCCAUGUACCCCUUCGCCCCAGACUCUAUAUAUAGGACCCCAUAUCCUCCCUUUGAGACUUAGCAUUGGAUUAGCUCAUAUUUGUGUGUGAGAGCCUUUGCUCAUCCACCGGUACUUCUCCACGGAGAUCACGACCUCCGUCUAGGAGAAGAUCCAUCGGAUUCAAGACCCCUAUACGGGAAGAUCCCCUCGUGGAUUCAAGACCUCCUCUCGGAGAAGAACGGCUAGCUUGUAUCUUUCCUUUGUUGAUUUUGGACCAUGUAUCACUCGUGCUUCGAUGAUCUAGACCUUGUGUGAUUGAUCUCUUGUCGGUUGAGUGUCUCUCUCGUUCUUCCCCGUGAUUUUCUCUCGUUCUUCCGCGCGUUCUUCGUGUUUCCCCCGUAGGAUCCCCUCCAAACGUGAAAGAUCGACGAAUUAGGGUUCCACCCUACAUCAAU